rnacentral:rRNA from 1 species
CAGCAGCCGCGGUAAUACGAGGGGGGCAAGCGUUGUUCGGAAUUAUUGGGCGUAAAGGGUGCGUAGGCGGUUCAGCAAGUCUCGUGUGAAAUCUUCGGGCUCAACCCGAAGUCUGCACGGGAAACUACUGGGCUUGAGUAAUGGAGAGGUGAGUGGAAUUUCCGGUGUAGCGGUGAAAUGCGUAGAUAUCGGAAGGAACACCUGUGGCGAAAGCGGCUCACUGGACAUUUACUGACGCUGAUGCACGAAAGCUAGGGGAGCAAACAGGAUUAGAUACCCCGGUAGUCCCUGUCUCUUAUAA